rnacentral:pre_miRNA from 1 species
UUCUAAAACGUUGCAGGCCCUGAUUGUCCAAACGCAAUUCUUGUACAAAUAUAAUAUCAAGAAAUGUGUAGGGGCAUCGUUGCUUGCACGUAUAAAUCAUC